rnacentral:rRNA from 1 species
AUUGAACGCUGGCGGCACGCUUAACACAUGCAAGUCGAGCGAUUGUUUUGCUGGGUAACUGGUGGAAUGAUAGCGGCGUACGGGUGAGUGAUGCGUAGGGAUCUACCCUGAAGAGUGGGAUAACCUGAGGAAACUUGGGCUAAUACUGCAUACUACUCUGAGGAGGAAAGGGUGCGGGCGACUGCACUUGCUUUAGGAUGAACCUACGUCCGAUUAGCUAGUUGGUAGGGUAAUGGCUUACCAAGGCGACGAUCGGUAGCUGGUCUGAGAGGACGGACAGCCACACUGGGACUGAGACACGGCCCAGACUCUUACGGGAGGCAGCAGUGGGGAAUAUUGGACAAUGGGGGCAACCCUGAUCCAGCGAUGCCGUGUGUGUGAAGAAGGCCUGCGGGUUGUAAAGCACUUUAGUUGGGGACGAAGGUUUGAGCGAGGAUAAGUCGCUGAGAUUGACGGUACCCGAAGAAUAAGCACCGGCUAACUCUGUGCCAGCAGCCGCGGUAA